UACGUAGGGGGCGAGCGUUGUCCGGAGUUACUGGGCGUAAAGCGCACGCAGGCGGUCUGCUAAGUUUGGAGUGACAGUUGGUGGCUUAACUGCCAAAGUGCUUCGAAAACUGACAGACUUGAGGGCUUCAGAGGGACACGGAAUUCCGGGUGGAGUGGUGAAAUGCGUAGAGAUCCGGAGGAACACCAAAGGCGAAGGCAGUGUCCUGGGGAGUACCUGACGCUCAGGUGC
rnacentral:rRNA from 1 species